UUGAACGCUGGCGGCAGGCCUAACACAUGCAAGUCGAGCGGAUGAAGGGAGCUUGCUCCUGGAUUCAGCGGCGGACGGGUGAGUAAUGCCUAGGAAUCUGCCUGGUAGUGGGGGAUAACGUCCGGAAACGGGCGCUAAUACCGCAUACGUCCUGAGGGAGAAAGUGGGGGAUCUUCGGACCUCACGCUAUCAGAUGAGCCUAGGUCGGAUUAGCUAGUUGGUGGGGUAAAGGCCUACCAAGGCGACGAUCCGUAACUGGUCUGAGAGGAUGAUCAGUCACACUGGAACUGAGACACGGUCCAGACUCCUACGGGAGGCAGCAGUGGGGAAUAUUGGACAAUGGGCGAAAGCCUGAUCCAGCCAUGCCGCGUGUGUGAAGAAGGCUUCGGAUUGUAAAGCACUUUAAGUUGGGAGGAAGGGCAGUAAGUUAAUACCUUGCUGUUUUGACGUUACAACAGAAUAAGCACCGGUACUCCUGCAACGCGGGG
rnacentral:rRNA from 1 species